GAUGAACGCUGGCGGCGUGCCUAAUACAUGCAGGUCGAGCGAACAGACGAGGAGCUUGCUCCUCUGACGUUAGCGGCGGACGGGUGAGUAACACGUGGAUAACCUACCUAUAAGACUGGGAUAACUUCGGGAAACCGGAGCUAAUACCGGAUAAUAUAUUGAACCGCAUGGUUCAAUAGUGAAAGACGGUUUUGCUGUCACUUAUAGAUGGAUCCGCGCCGCAUUAGCUAGUUGGUAAGGUAACGGCUUACCAAGGCAACGAUGCGUAGCCGACCUGAGAGGGGGAGCAGCCACACUGGAACUGAGACACGGUGCGGACGAAUACGGGAGGCAGCAGUCGGGAAUCUGUAACAAUGUGAGAAAUCUUGAAGGAUAAACGAAGCGGGAAUGAUGAAGGUCUUACGAUCUUAUAACUCUGUUAUUAGCGAAGAACAAAUAUGUAAGGGACUAUGCACGUCUUGAAGGUACCUAAUCAGAAAGGCACGGCCAACUACAUG
rnacentral:rRNA from 1 species